rnacentral:piRNA from 1 species
CCAGGCAAUCUGUCAGCAAAGGGGUGCUGUU